rnacentral:tRNA from 1 species
GGUGCGUUUGGACGGGCGACUGGUCGGCGGUUGAUCGCCCCCAUUAUCAGAUGCGGCUGGUUGCUCUUUGGUCACUUCAAAGCGCACCUC